rnacentral:rRNA from 1 species
UACGGAGGGCGCAAGCGUUGUUCGGAAUCACUGGGCGUAAAGCGCGUGUAGGCGGUUCAGCAAGUCGGCUGUGAAAGCCCGGGGCUCAACCUCGGAACUGCAGCCGAAACUGCCGGGCUCGAGCCCCGGAGAGGGUGGCGGAAUUUCCGGUGUAGAGGUGAAAUUCGUAGAUAUCGGAAGGAACACCAGAGGCGAAGGCGGCCACCUGGACGGUGACUGACGCUGAGACGCGAAAGCGUGGGGAGCAAACAGG